GAUGAACGCUGGCGGCGUGCCUAAUACAUGCGAGUCGAGCGAACAGACGAGGAGCUUGCUCCUCUGACGUUAGCGGCGGACGGGUGAGUAACACGUGGAUAACCUACCUAUAAGACUGGGAUAACUUCGGGAAACCGGAGCUAAUACCGGAUAAUAUAUUGAACCGCAUGGUUCAAUAGUGAAAGACGGUUUUGCUGUCACUUAUAGAUGGAUCCGCGCCGCAUUAGCUAGUUGGUAAGGUAACGGCUUACCAAGGCAACGAUGCGUAGCCGACCUGAGAGGGUGAUCGGCCGCACUGGAACUGAGACACGGUCCAGACUCCUACGGGAGGCAGCAGUAGGGAAUCUUCCGCAAUGGGCGAAAGCCUGACGGAGCAACGCCGCGUGAGUGAUGAAGGUCUUCGGAUCGUAAAACUCUGUUAUUAGGGAAGAACAAAUGUGUAAGUAACUAUGCACGUCUUGACGGUACCUAAUCAGAAAGCCACGGCUAACUACGUG
rnacentral:rRNA from 1 species